rnacentral:rRNA from 1 species
AGAGUUUGAUCCUGGCUCAGGACGAACGCUGGCGGCGUGCCUAAUACAUGCAAGUCCAGCGGACUGAUUGGAAGCUUGCUCCCUGAUGUUAGCGGCGGACGGGUGAGUAACACGUGGGUAACCUGCCUGUAAGACUGGGAUAACUCCGGGAAACCGGGGCUAAUACCGGAUGGUUGUUUGAACCGCAUGGUUCAGACAUAAAAGGUGGCUUCGGCUACCACUUACAGAUGGACCCGCGGCGCAUUAGCUAGUUGGUGAGGUAACGGCUCACCAAGGCAACGAUGCGUAGCCGACCUGAGAGGGUGAUCGGCCACACUGGGACUGAGACACGGCCCAGACUCCUACGGGAGGCAGCAGUAGGGAAUCUUCCGCAAUGGACGAAAGUCUGACGGAGCAACGCCGCGUGAGUGAUGAAGGUUUUCGGAUCGUAAAGCUCUGUUGUUAGGGAAGAACAAGUGCCGUUCAAAUAGGGCGGCACCUUGACGGUACCUAACCAGAAAGCCACGGCUAACUACGUGCCAGCAGCCGCGGUAAUACGUAGGUGGCAAGCGUUGUCCGGAAUUAUUGGGCGUAAAGGGCUCGCAGGCGGUUUCUUAAGUCUGAUGUGAAAGCCCCCGGCUCAACCGGGGAGGGUCAUUGGAAACUGGGGAACUUGAGUGCAGAAGAGGAGAGUGGAAUUCCACGUGUAGCGGUGAAAUGCGUAGAGAUGUGGAGGAACACCAGUGGCGAAGGCGACUCUCUGGUCUGUAACUGACGCUGAGGAGCGAAAGCGUGGGGAGCGAACAGGAUUAGAUACCCUGGUAGUCCACGCCGUAAACGAUGAGUGCUAAGUGUUAGGGGGUUUCCGCCCCUUAGUGCUGCAGCUAACGCAUUAAGCACUCCGCCUGGGGAGUACGGUCGCAAGACUGAAACUCAAAGGAAUUGACGGGGGCCCGCACAAGCCGGUGGAGCAUGUUGGUUUAAUUCGAACCAACGCGAAGAACCUUACCUGGUCUUGACAUCCUUCUGACAAUCCUAAGAGAUAGGACGUCCCCCUUCGGGGGACAAAGUGACAGGUGGUGCAUGGUUGUCGUCAGCUCGUGUCGUGAGAUGUUGGGUUAAGUCCCGCAACGAGCGCAACCCUUGAUCUUAGUUGCCAGCAUUCAGUUGGGCACUCUAAGGUGACUGCCGGUGACAAACCGGAGGAAGGUGGGGAUGACGUCAAAUCAUCAUGCCCCUUAUGACCUGGGCUACACACGUGCUACAAUGGGCAGAACAAAGGGCAGCGAAACCGCGAGGUUAAGCCAAUCCCACAAAUCUGUUCUCAGUUCGGAUCGCAGUCUGCAACUCGACUGCGUGAAGCCGGAAUCGCUAGUAAUCGCGGAUCAGCAUGCCGCGGUGAAUACGUUCCCGGGCCUUGUACACACCGCCCGUCACACCACGAGAGUUUGUAACACCCGAAGUAGGGGAGGUAACCUUUUAGGAGCCAGCCGCCGAAGGUGGGACACAUG